rnacentral:rRNA from 1 species
CCCAGAGCUCAGGGGCAGCUCGGCGACGUCGGGGCAGCAGUGGUGGUGGCCGAGGCAGAGGGGCUCGUUGCGGCGGCGUUGGAGGAGCUGCGGGGCAGAGGAAGCGGUCCUCGGGUGCGUGCGGGGCAUCGAGGGGGAGGGCCGAUCCGGCGAGGGGGGUGCUCCGGCGGCGGCGGAAUCGGGCGUUCGCCCCCCGAUCCAGAUCGGGGGGAGAGGGAAGAGACGAGGGGGGUCGUGG